GAUGGACGCUGGCGGCGUGCCUAAUACAUGCAAGUCGAGCGAACGGACGAUAAUCUUGCUUCUCUGAUGUUAGCGGCGGACGGGUGAGUAACACGUGGAUAACCUACCUAUAAUACUGGGAUAACUUCGGGAAACCGGAGCUAAUACCGGAUAAUAUUCUGAACCGCAUGGUUCAAAAGUGAAAGACGGUCUUGCUGGCACUUAUAGAUGGAUCCGCGCUGCAUUAGCUAGUUGGUAAGGUAACGGCUUACCAAGGCAACUAUGCAUAGCCGACCUGAGAGGGUGAUAGGCCACACUGGAACUGAGCCAGGCUCCAGAGUCCUAAGGGAGGGAGCAGUAGGGAAUGUUCCGCAAUGGGGGAGAGCAUGACGGAGCAACGCCGAGUGAGUGAUGAAGGUCUUCGGAUCGUAAAACUCUGUUAUUAGGGAAGAACAGAUGUGUACGUAAAUGUGCACAUCUUGACGGUACCUAAUAAGAAAGCAACGGCUAACUACGUG
rnacentral:rRNA from 1 species